CUUUGUCAAGUAUUGUCUUUGUAACAUAUUGUUGGUGAGUUUAUGUUCAUGUUUUGUUUAUUUAGUCAAGUCAAGUCAUUGUUUUGUUUACUUUGGAUUAUGUUAUUUAAAUAAACUGCAUGGGUUGUCAACUACAACUCACCUCAGUGGACUGUUGUUACAGAAUACUUGACCGAUCACCAUGAACUCAGCAGUCACUCUACUUCACCUCCGUCAAGCUUUGAAAGACAUUUUUCACUAUGGACUUAAUGAACCCGUUCGAUCACAAAUGCCAGGGGGGAAAAUCCAUUUUUCCCUGGCCCAGUACAUAGACCACGGAUGAUGAGUGCCGCAAUCCUACAGUACCCGCAACGCCAGAGUGUUUCCACACCAUGACUGCCACACCAAGGCCUGUUCACGUCAUGCCUGUUCAUGUCAUGCCUACCCACAUCAUGCCUGCCACCCCAGGGCCUGUUCAUGUCAUGCCUGCCAAGCCUGAGUUUCUUCACGUCAUGCCUGCUAAACCUGAGCCUGUUCACGUCAUGUCUGCCUUGCAAGAGACUGUUCACAUCAUGCCUGCCCUGCCAGAGACUGUUCACAUCAUGCCAGCUAGAUCGUUGCUGGAUAUCGCCCGUGCUGCUUCCUGUUAUCCUGUGUGUUCCUCUGUCUGAGUCAUCGUGUCGUGCUGUUCCGGUUCCAGUCCCGUUUGGAUUACUCACCUGGUGUUUUCCCUUCACUCUGGAUACUCUACACACGGUCUUCACUCUUCUGUUCAGGACUGCCCAUCGAAGUCCCUGUGUCACCACUCUCCCGCUGGCUGCAACGUGUUGGACUCUGUGGUUUUCUCAAUAAAGAGAUUUUACUUGCAA